UUACACGGUUCUCAUUGAGUUAGUCUGCAAACAUAUUGGAAUUGUACACGCAUUAGAAAUCAUGGAAGAUUUGACAGUGGAGGGAUGUUAGCCGGAUCUCGUGACAUACAAUUCAAUGGUCAAUAUUUCUUCUAAACAGAGACACUAUGAUGAUGCAGCGCUGGUUAUUUUUAAUCUUCUAUCUCGUGGAAUGGAGCCAAAUGCUAUCACAUACAAUACUCUUCUCCAUUCUCUUUGUACCUGUGGGUGUUGGGAUGAAGUGGACGAGAUCCUCAUUUUCAUGAAUGAAACAUCACACCCUCCUACUCGCGUAACUUAUAAUAUUUUGAUUAAUGGUUUAUGUAAACAUGGUCAUCUGGAUCGUGCAAUCGACUUCUUUAAUGAGAUGGUUAUUUACAACUGCUUUCCUGAUAUAAUUACUUAUAACACCCUCCUACGUGCUCUUUGUAAGGAAGCAAUGCUAGACGAGGCUAUCCAAAUUCUUCAUUGCUUAUGUGAUACAAACUGCUCUCCUAGUUUAAUCACUUACAAUAUUGUCAUUGAUGGAUUGUCAAAGGAGAAUUUUAUGGGGAAAGCAAUGGAAGUAUACAAUAACAUGUUGGAGCAUGGGAUUUGUCCUGAUGAAGUUACCUAUCGAUGUUUGAUUUGGGGUUUCUGCCGAGCCGAUCUAAUUGAAGAGGCUAUAGAAUUAUUAAAGGCGAUGGGUUUUAACAAAAACAGGAUAAGAGAUAAUUGUUAUAAAUUCAUUAUUAAGAGAUUGUGCCAGAUCAAAAAAGUGGAUUUUGCAAUCCAAGUCCUAGAAAUGUUGAUAUCGAGUAGACACAAGUCCUAUGUCACAGUUUAUUUGGAAAUAAUUCAUGAGAUUGAUACUGCUAGUAUGCCUGAAGAAGCUGCAGAAUUACGACAGAAAUUGGUGGAACUCAAGAUUUUCAAAGAGGCUAGCCCUUGCUAGAUCCAAACGUGCAUGGCUUUGACAAUCUUAUGCAUGGUACAUCUUCAGCCUGUUCACCCCAACUCGAGCAAAAAUUAUUUUCUUCGAAAUAAAGGGGAAGAAUUGUAAUAAGUGGCUGUGCUGUAAAAAAGUGAAUGAAAUAUACCGUGAUAGGGGCAACAGGACAAGUGCUGACAUAGUUUUGGAUUUUGGAGCAGCAUGCUUCGCAUGUUGACCUGGUUUUUAUUUCAUAGGCAGCUACUAGAGUAUCAACCAAUCUUUAGAGGCAUGACUUCGCAAUUGUUAAGAAAGUUUUGUUUUGUUAUUCUACGAACUGUUUCGUUUGUCUAUGUUAUUUUAGGCAUAUCGAACUUCAUGGACGCAUGCAAAUUUUGAUAGUGGAUUCGCCAGAAACUAA